AUUUUUGUUUUCUUUCUUUGUUGUCCUUUCUGUUUCUUUCCUCCAAUUUUUUUUGGUGGAUUUUGUAUGUGUCUUUAAAAACAAGUAUUUGAAUGGGAGGAAGUGGGGAAUGGAAGGAAGGGACUAAAACUGCUCAAGUUAUUGAUAAAUAAAAC
rnacentral:ribozyme from 13 species